ACUAAGCGUACACGGUGGAUGCCCUGGCAGUCAGAGGCGAUGAAGGACGUGCUAAUCUGCGAAAAGCGUCGGUAAGGUGAUAUGAACCGUUACAGCCGGCGAUGUCCGAAUGGGGAAACCCAGUGCAAUUCGUUGCACUAUCGUUAACUGAAUACAUAGGUUAACGAGGCGAACCGGGGGAACUGAAACAUCUAAGUACCCCGAGGAAAAGAAAUCAACCGAGAUUCCCCCAGUAGCGGCGAGCGAACGGGGAGCAGCCCAGAGUCUGAAUCAGCUUGUGUGUUAGUGGAACGGUCUGGAAAGUCCGACGGUACAGGGUGAUAGUCCCGUACACCAAAAUGCACAGGCUGUGAACUCGAAGAGUAGGGCGGGACACGUGGUAUCCUGUCUGAAUAUGGGGGGACCAUCCUCCAAGGCUAAAUACUCCUGACUGACCGAUAGUGAACCAGUACCGUGAGGGAAAGGCGAAAAGAACCCCGGCGAGGGGAGUGAAAAAGAACCUGAAACCGUGUACGUACAAGCAGUGGGAGCACCUUCGGGUGUGACUGCGUACCUUUUGUAUAAUGGGUCAGCGACUUAUAUUCUGUAGCAAGGUUAACCGUAUAGGGGAGCCGCAGGGAAACCGAGUCUUAACUGGGCGUUAAGUUGCAGGGUAUAGACCCGAAACCCGGUGAUCUAGCCAUGGGCAGGUUGAAGGUUGGGUAACACUAACUGGAGGACCGAACCGACUAAUGUUGAAAAAUUAGCGGAUGACUUGUGGCUGGGGGUGAAAGGCCAAUCAAACCGGGAGAUAGCUGGUUCUCCCCGAAAGCUAUUUAGGUAGCGCCUCGUGAACUCAUCUUCGGGGGUAGAGCACUGUUUCGGCUAGGGGGUCAUCCCGACUUACCAACCCGAUGCAAACUACGAAUACCGAAGAAUGUUAUCACGGGAGACACACGGCGGGUGCUAACGUCCGUCGUGAAGAGGGAAACAACCCAGACCGCCAGCUAAGGUCCCAAAGUCAUGGUUAAGUGGGAAACGAUGUGGGAAGGCACAGACAGCCAGGAUGUUGGCUUAGAAGCAGCCAUCAUUUAAAGAAAGCGUAAUAGCUCACUGGUCGAGUCGGCCUGCGCGGAAGAUGUAACGGGGCUAAACCAUGCACCGAAGCUGCGGCAGCGACACUAUGUGUUGUUGGGUAGGGGAGCGUUCUGUAAGCCUGCGAAGGUGUGCUGUGAGGCAUGCUGGAGGUAUCAGAAGUGCGAAUGCUGACAUAAGUAACGAUAAAGCGGGUGAAAAGCCCGCUCGCCGGAAGACCAAGGGUUCCUGUCCAACGUUAAUCGGGGCAGGGUGAGUCGACCCCUAAGGCGAGGCCGAAAGGCGUAGUCGAUGGGAAACAGGUUAAUAUUCCUGUACUUGGUGUUACUGCGAAGGGGGGACGGAGAAGGCUAUGUUAGCCGGGCGACGGUUGUCCCGGUUUAAGCAUGUAGGCUGGUUAUCCAGGCAAAUCCGGAUAAUCAAGGCUGAGGUGUGAUGACGAGGCACUACGGUGCUGAAGUAACAAAUGCCCUGCUUCCAGGAAAAGCCUCUAAGCAUCAGGUAACAUCAAAUCGUACCCCAAACCGACACAGGUGGUCAGGUAGAGAAUACCAAGGCGCUUGAGAGAACUCGGGUGAAGGAACUAGGCAAAAUGGUGCCGUAACUUCGGGAGAAGGCACGCUGGUGUGUAGGUGAAGCCCCUGCGGGUGGAGCUGAGACCAGUCGAAGAUACCAGCUGGCUGCAACUGUUUAUUAAAAACACAGCACUGUGCAAACACGAAAGUGGACGUAUACGGUGUGACGCCUGCCCGGUGCCGGAAGGUUAAUUGAUGGGGUUAUCCGUAAGGAGAAGCUCUUGAUCGAAGCCCCGGUAAACGGCGGCCGUAACUAUAACGGUCCUAAGGUAGCGAAAUUCCUUGUCGGGUAAGUUCCGACCUGCACGAAUGGCGUAAUGAUGGCCAGGCUGUCUCCACCCGAGACUCAGUGAAAUUGAACUCGCUGUGAAGAUGCAGUGUACCCGCGGCAAGACGGAAAGACCCCGUGAACCUUUACUAUAGCUUGACACUGAACAUUGAGCCUUGAUGUGUAGGAUAGGUGGGAGGCUUUGAAGCGUGGACGCCAGUCUGCGUGGAGCCAACCUUGAAAUACCACCCUUUAAUGUUUGAUGUUCUAACGUUGGCCCCUUACCGGGGUUGCGGACAGUGUCUGGUGGGUAGUUUGACUGGGGCGGUCUCCUCCCAAAGCGUAACGGAGGAGCACGAAGGUUAGCUAAUCCUGGUCGGACAUCAGGAGGUUAGUGCAAUGGCAUAAGCUAGCUUGACUGCGAGCGUGACGGCGCGAGCAGGUGCGAAAGCAGGUCAUAGUGAUCCGGUGGUUCUGAAUGGAAGGGCCAUCGCUCAACGGAUAAAAGGUACUCCGGGGAUAACAGGCUGAUACCGCCCAAGAGUUCAUAUCGACGGCGGUGUUUGGCACCUCGAUGUCGGCUCAUCACAUCCUGGGGCUGAAGUAGGUCCCAAGGGUAUGGCUGUUCGCCAUUUAAAGUGGUACGCGAGCUGGGUUUAGAACGUCGUGAGACAGUUCGGUCCCUAUCUGCCGUGGGCGCUGGAGAAUUGAGGGGGGCUGCUCCUAGUACGAGAGGACCGGAGUGGACGCAUCACUGGUGUUCGGGUUGUCAUGCCAAUGGCACUGCCCGGUAGCUAAAUGCGGAAGAGAUAAGUGCUGAAAGCAUCUAAGCACGAAACUUGCCCCGAGAUGAGUUCUCCCUGAGACUUUAAGUCUCCUGAAGGAACGUUGAAGACGACGACGUUGAUAGGCCGGGUGUGUAAGCGCAGCGAUGCGUUGAGCUAACCGGUACUAAUGAACCGUGAGGCUUAACC
rnacentral:rRNA from 1 species